UACGAAGGGUGCAAACGUUGCUCGGAAUCAUUGGGCGUAAAGCGCACGUAGGCGGCCCAGCAAGUGGGGAGUGAAAGCCCUCGGCUUAACCGAGGAAGUGCUUUCCAAACUACUGGGCUUGAAUACUGGAGAGGGUCGCGGAAUUCCCGGUGUAGAGGUGAAAUUCGUAGAUAUCGUGAGGAAGACCAGUGGCGAAGGCGGGUCUCUGGACAGUUCCUGACGCUGAGGCGCGAAGGCCAGGGAGCAAACGGG
rnacentral:rRNA from 1 species